CAAUAGCGUAUAUUAAAGUUGUUGCGGUUAAAAAGCUCGUAGUUGGAUUUCUGCCGAGGACGUCCGGUCCACCCUCUGGGUGUGUACAUGGCACGGCCUGGGCAUCUUCUUGGGGUACGUAUCUGCACUUGACUGUGUGGUGCGGAAUCCAGGACUUUUACUUUGAGGAAAUUAGAGUGUUUCAAGCAGGCACGCGCCUUGAAUACAUUAGCAUGGAAUAAUAAGAUAGGACCUCGGUUCUAUUUUGUUGGUUUCUAGAGCUGAGGUAAUGAUUAAUAGGGAUAGUUGGGGGCAUUCGUAUUUAACUGUCAGAGGUGAAAUUCUUGGAUUUGUUAAAGACGGACUACUGCGAAAACAUUUGCCAAGGAUGUUUUCAUUGA
rnacentral:rRNA from 1 species